AAAUCGUAACAGUACAAGAGUAUAAUUUGAUGGGCUUUGCUUCUGACAUGGAUUACGGGAAAUUCUUGCUAUAUGGAAUGACCCUUGGAAGUUGCCAAUCCCUCUGAAACUUCAAUUUUUCUUAUGGAAACUAUUCAAAGAAUGUUUGCCCACCAAACAAAAGAUACAGAAUUGUAUCCCUCACUUUCCAGAUAAUUGGUCCUUUUGUGAAGAAGUGGAAACAAUUAACCAUUUGUUCUUUAAAUGCCCAGAGGCUACAGAAGCAUGGAUCCACUCUCCACUUAGACUCAGAUCAUCACUCCUGCAAGGCACUUCAUUUCUAGACUGCUGGAAGGAAAUUAAAAGAGGGGUGAAUCAAAGUGAAGAAGGGAUUCAAAUGUUGCCAUCAGUGGUGUUCAUUCUGUGGCAGUUAUGGAAGAACCACAAUUUAGUCUCCUUUCAGAAUCAAAGUUUAUCUUUUCAGCAAGUGUUUGCAGUUGCAGCCCACCGUCAAGAAGACUUUUUGUCAGCCCAAAAAUAAAGACCUUUAAUCCACAAUAUGAGAUUGCAAAAGCAACACUGGUCUCCUCCUCCUAUAGGUAUGAUCAAGCUUAACUUUCAUGCAGCAGUUCAGAAUCCGAGUAAGACAUGCACAACCAGUGUGAUUGCCAGAGACCACUUAGGAAAUUUAAAAGGAUGGCACAGCACAUCAUUUCCAGGAAUCUCCAAUCCCCUAGUGGCGGAAAGUCUUGCUUGCAGGAAAGCAAUUCAGUUAGCAGCUUCUUAUGAUUUCAGGAAAGUAAUCAUUGAAGGGGAUUCCCAAAUCGUCAUCAACAAAUGUCUUGAGAACUCCUGUCCUCAGGAAAUUCUAGAUAUUAUCAGGGACAUAUUGAGCAUUAAAUCCACUUUGAAGGAAGUUAAUUUUAAUUUUAUUCGUGGGAUUUGUAAUGGGGUGGCUUAGACAAAUCUUUUCUUCAUACUCCUAUCCUCCAAUCUCACUUUGUAAUGUCCCUUUUGCCUUCUUAGGCUUUUAAUUAAUUGCUUAUCUUUGUUAAAAUAAAUAAAUAAAUAACUCAUCGGAAG
rnacentral:misc_RNA from 1 species